rnacentral:snRNA from 1 species
GUACUCACUUCGGCAGCACAUAUGCUAAAAUUGGAACUAUACAGAGAAGAUUAGCAUGG